rnacentral:rRNA from 1 species
GGGUUGUGAGGUUAAGCGACUAAGCGUACACGGUGGAUGCCCUGGCAGUCAGAGGCGAUGAAGGACGUGCUAAUCUGCGAAAAGCGCCGGCGAGGUGAUAUGAACCCUUGACCCGGCGAUGUCCGAAUGGGGAAACCCAGUGUGUUCCGACACACUAUCGUUAACUGAAUACAUAGGUUAACGAGGCGAACCGGGGGAACUGAAACAUCUAAGUACCCCGAGGAAAAGAAAUCAACCGAGAUUCCCCCAGUAGCGGCGAGCGAACGGGGAGCAGCCCGGAGUCUGAAUCAGCUUGUGUGUUAGUGGAACGGUCUGGAAAGUCCGACGGUACAGGGUGAUAGUCCCGUACACGAAAAUGCACAUGCUGUGAACUCGAAGAGUAGGGCGGGACACGUGGUAUCCUGUCUGAAUAUGGGGGGACCAUCCUCCAAGGCUAAAUACUCCUGACUGACCGAUAGUGAACCAGUACCGUGAGGGAAAGGCGAAAAGAACCCCGGCGAGGGGAGUGAAAAAGAACCUGAAACCGUGUACGUACAAGCAGUGGGAGCACCUUCGGGUGUGACUGCGUACCUUUUGUAUAAUGGGUCAGCGACUUAUAUUCUGUAGCAAGGUUAACCGUAUAGGGGAGCCGAAGGGAAACCGAGUCUUAACUGGGCGUUAAGUUGCAGGGUAUAGACCCGAAACCCGGUGAUCUAGCCAUGGGCAGGUUGAAGGUUGGGUAACACUAACUGGAGGACCGAACCGACUAAUGUUGAAAAAUUAGCGGAUGACCUGUGGCUGGGGGUGAAAGGCCAAUCAAACCGGGAGAUAGCUGGUUCUCCCCGAAAGCUAUUUAGGUAGCGCCUCGUGAACUCAUCUUCGGGGGUAGAGCACUGUUUCGGCUAGGGGGCCAUCCCGGCUUACCAACCCGAUGCAAACUACGAAUACCGAAGAAUGUUAUCACGGGAGACACACGGCGGGUGCUAACGUCCGUCGUGAAGAGGGAAACAACCCAGACCGCCAGCUAAGGUCCCAAAGUCAUGGUUAAGUGGGAAACGAUGUGGGAAGGCACAGACAGCCAGGAUGUUGGCUUAGAAGCAGCCAUCAUUUAAAGAAAGCGUAAUAGCUCACUGGUCGAGUCGGCCUGCGCGGAAGAUGUAACGGGGCUAAACCAUGCACCGAAGCUGCGGCAGCGACGCUUAUGCGUUGUUGGGUAGGGGAGCGUUCUGUAAGCCGUUGAAGGUGUGCUGUGAGGCAUGCUGGAGGUAUCAGAAGUGCGAAUGCUGACAUAAGUAACGAUAAAGCGGGUGAAAAGCCCGCUCGCCGGAAGACCAAGGGUUCCUGUCCAACGUUAAUCGGGGCAGGGUGAGUCGACCCCUAAGGCGAGGCCGAAAGGCGUAGUCGAUGGGAAACAGGUUAAUAUUCCUGUACUUGGUGUUACUGCGAAGGGGGGACGGAGAAGGCUAUGUCAGCCGGGCGACGGUUGUCCCGGUUUAAGCAUGUAGGCGGAGGUUCCAGGUAAAUCCGGUACCUU